UACCAGCUCUCCGAGUGGUGUGGAUGUUUAUUGGGCCUAAAGCAUCCGUAGCUGGCUGGGCAAGUCCCCUGUUAAAUCCACCGAUUUAAUCGUUGGUGUGCGGGGGAUACUGUUCGGCUAGGGGACGGGAGAGGCCGACGGUAUUUUCGGGGUAGGGGUGAAAUCCUAUAAUCCCGGGAAGACCACCAGUGGCGAAGGCUGUCGGCUAGAACGCGCCCGACGGUGAGGGAUGAAAGCUGGGGGAGCGAACCGGAUUAGAUACCCGGGUAGUCCCAGCUGUAAACGAUGCAGGCUAGGUGUUUGGGCGGCCACGUGCCGCUCUAGUGCCGCAGAGAAGUCGUUAAGCCUGCCGCCUGGGGAGUACGGCCGCAAGGCUGAAACUUAAAGGAAUUGGCGGGGGAGCACCACAAGGGGUGAAGCUUGCGGUUU
rnacentral:rRNA from 1 species